rnacentral:rRNA from 1 species
GACGAACGCUGGCGGCGUGCCUAAUACAUGCAAGUAGAACGCUGAGGUUUGGUGUUUACACUAGACUGAUGAGUUGCGAACGGGUGAGUAACGCGUAGGUAACCUGCCUCAUAGCGGGGGAUAACUAUUGGAAACGAUAGCUAAUACCGCAUAAGAGUAAUUAACACAUGUUGGUUAUUUAAAAGGAGCAAUUGCUUCACUGUGAGAUGGACCUGCGUUGUAUUAGCUAGUUGGUGAGGUAAAGGCUCACCAAGGCGACGAUACAUAGCCGACCUGAGAGGGUGAUCGGCCACACUGGGACUGAGACACGGCCCAGACUCCUACGGGAGGCAGCAGUAGGGAAUCUUCGGCAAUGGACGGAAGUCUGACCGAGCAACGCCGCGUGAGUGAAGAAGGUUUUCGGAUCGUAAAGCUCUGUUGUUAGAGAAGAACGUUGGUAGGAGUGGAAAAUCUACCAAGUGACGGUAACUAACCAGAAAGGGACGGCUAACUACGUGCCAGCAGCCGCGGUAAUACGUAGGUCCCGAGCGUUGUCCGGAUUUAUUGGGCGUAAAGCGAGCGCAGGCGGUUCUUUAAGUCUGAAGUUAAAGGCAGUGGCUUAACCAUUGUACGCUUUGGGAACUGGAGGACUUGAGUGCAGAAGGGGAGAGUGGAAUUCCAUGUGUAGCGGUGAAAUGCGUAGAUAUAUGGAGGAACACCGGUGGCGAAAGCGGCUCUCUGGUCUGUAACUGACGCUGAGGCUCGAAAGCGUGGGGAGCAAACAGG